rnacentral:rRNA from 1 species
GGGGCAGCACGGGAGUAGCAAUACAACUGGUGGCGACCGGCGCACGGGUGAGUAACGCGUAUGCAACCCUUUUAUCAGAGGGGAAUAACCCGGCGAAAGUCGGACUAAUACCGCAUAAAACAGGGGCACCGCAUGGUGAUAUUUGUUAAAGAAAUUCGCUGAUAGAUGGGCAUGCGUUCCAUUAGGUAGUUGGUGAGGUAACGGCUCACCAAGCCGACGAUGGAUAGGGGAACUGAGAGGUUGGUCCCCCACACUGGUACUGAGACACGGACCAGACUCCUACGGGAGGCAGCAGUGAGGAAUAUUGGUCAAUGGGCGAGAGCCUGAACCAGCCAAGUCGCGUGAAGGAAGAAGGAUCUAUGGUUCGUAAACUUCUUUUGCAGGGGAAUAAAGUGCAGGACGUGUCCUGUUUUGUAUGUACCCUGAGAAUAAGGAUCGGCUAACUCCGUGCCAGCAGCCGCGGUAAUACGGAGGAUCCGAGCGUUAUCCGGAUUUAUUGGGUUUAAAGGGUGCGUAGGUGGUUUUAUAAGUCAGCGGUGAAAGUUUGCAGCUUAACUGUAAAAAUGCCGUUGAAACUGUAAGACUUGAGUGUAAAUGAGGUAGGCGGAAUGCGUGGUGUAGCGGUGAAAUGCAUAGAUAUCACGAAGAACUCCGAUUG